GUCGCCAACGAGUGGCGGACGGGUGAGUAACACGUAGGUAACCUGCCCAGAAGCGGGGGACAACAUUUGGAAACAGAUGCUAAUACCGCAUAACAACGUUGUUCGCAUGAACAACGCUUAAAAGAUGGCUUCUCGCUAUCACUUCUGGAUGGACCUGCGGUGCAUUAGCUUGUUGGUGGGGUAAUGGCCUACCAAGGCGAUGAUGCAUAGCCGAGUUGAGAGACUGAUCGGCCACAAUGGGACUGAGACACGGCCCAUACUCCUACGGGAGGCAGCAGUAGGGAAUCUUCCACAAUGGGCGCAAGCCUGAUGGAGCAACACCGCGUGAGUGAAGAAGGGUUUCGGCUCGUAAAGCUCUGUUGUUAAAGAAGAACACGUAUGAGAGUAACUGUUCAUACGUUGACGGUAUUUAACCAGAAAGUCACGGCUAACUACGUGCCAGCAGCCGCGGUAAUACGUAGGUGGCAAGCGUUAUCCGGAUUUAUUGGGCGUAAAGAGAGUGCAGGCGGUUUUCUAAGUCUGAUGUGAAAGCCUUCGGCUUAACCGGAGAAGUGCAUCGGAAACUGGAUAACUUGAGUGCAGAAGAGGGUAGUGGAACUCCAUGUGUAGCGGUGGAAUGCGUAGAUAUAUGGAAGAACACCAGUGGCGAAGGCGGCUACCUGGUCUGCAACUGACGCUGAGACUCGAAAGCAUGGGUAGCGAACAGGAUUAGAUACCCUGGUAGUCCAUGCCGUAAACGAUGAG
rnacentral:rRNA from 2 species